rnacentral:rRNA from 1 species
UCGCCUGUUUUUCAAAAACAUAGUUUUAUGAUUAUAUAUAAAAUAUUUUCUGCCCAGUGUCAAUAAUUGAUAAAUGGCCGCAGUACCUUGACUGUGCUAAGGUAGCAUAAUCAAUUGGCUUUUAAUUGAAGUCUAGAAUGAAUGGGAUAAUGGAAUUUAGCUGUCUUGAUUUUUUUAAUAAAAAUUUAUUUAUAAGGUGAAAAUACCUUAAACUAUAAUAAAGACGAGAAGACCCUAUGAAUUUUUAAAUUUUUUUUGUUGGGGCGACAGUUUAAAAUAUAAAUCUUAAAUUUUAAUUAUAUAACGAUUUUUUUAAUAAAAAUUAAAUUACCUUAGGGAUAACAGCAUUAUUAUUUAAAUAGUUUGUGACCUCGAUGUUGGACUAGGAACUAAAAGGCUAACCGUCUUUAUAGAUUUGUUCUGUUCGAACAAUUUUAUCCUACGUGAUCUGAGUUCAGACCGGG